GUUAUUUUGGCAGAAGAAGUGUAAUUGAUUUAGAAUCAUUAAAUGUAGUUUAUACUACAAAUAACA
rnacentral:tRNA from 1 species